rnacentral:rRNA from 1 species
CCUGACUGCUAUCGGAUUGAUACUAAGCCAUGCGAGUCAUUGCAGUAAUGCAAGGCAGACGGCUCAGUAACGCGUAGUCAACCUACCCUAUGGACGGGAAUAACCUCGGGAAACUGAGUAUAAUGCCCGAUAGAACACUAUACCUGGAAUGGUUUGUGUUCCAAAUGAAUGUCGCCGUAGGAUGGGACUGCGGCCUAUCAGUUUGUUGGUGAGGUAAUGGCCCACCAAGACUAUUACAGGUACGGGCUCUGAGAGGAGUAGCCCGGAGAUGGGUACUGAGACACGGACCCAGGCCCUAUGGGGCGCAGCAGGCGAGAAAACUUUGCAAUGUGCGAAAGCACGACAAGGUUAAUCCGAGUGGUUUGUGCUAAACGAACCUUUUGACAGUCCUAGAAACACUGUUGAAUAAGGGGUGGGCAAGUUCUGGUGUCAGCCGCCGCGGUAAAACCAGCACCUCAAGUGGUCAGGAUGAUUAUUGGGCCUAAAGCAUCCGUAGCCGGCUCUGUAAGUUUUCGGUUAAAUCUGUACGCUCAACGUACAGGCUGCCGGGAAUACUGCAGAGCUAGGGAGUGGGAGAGGUAGACGGUACUCGGUAGGAAGGGGUAAAAUCCUUUGAUCUAUUGAUGACCACCUGUGGCGAAGGCGGUCUACCAGAACACGUCCGACGGUGAGGGAUGAAAGCUGGGGGAGCAAACCGGAUUAGAUACCCGGGUAGUCCCAGCUGUAACUACGCAAACUCAGUGAUGCAUUGGCU